AAUCAACGCUGGCGGCGUGCCUAACACAUGCAAGUCGAACGAGAAGGUGACUUCGGUCACUGGAUAGUGGCGUCCGGGUGAGUAACACGUAGGUAAUCUACCUUCGGGUGGGGAAUAACGUCUCGAAAGAGACGCUAAUACCGCAUAAUGCAGCGGCACCUAAUGGUGAUUAGUUGUUAAAGCGGGGGAGUCUUCGGACCUCGCGCCUGAAGAGGAGCCUGCGGCAGAUUAGCUAGUUGGUGAGGUAAUGGCUCACCAAGGCUUCGAUCUGUAGCUGGUCUGAGAGGACGGCCAGCCACACUGGCACUGACACACGGGCCAGACUCCUACGGGAGGCAGCAGUGGGGAAUUUUGGGCAAUGGGCGAAAGCCUGACCCAGCAACGCCGCGUGAAGGAGGAAAUCCUUCGGGAUGUAAACUUCAUAAGUAAGGGAAGAAAGCUGCGGAUCGAAUAAGUCCGCAGUCCGACGGUACCUUACGUAA
rnacentral:rRNA from 1 species